UCCCCACUCUCCUAUUGUGUUCACAAGAAUUCUUUUUUUUUUUUUAAAGCCACAAGGCAUGUGGGAUCUUAGUUCUUCAACCAAGGGAUCGAACCUUCCUCCCCUACAUUGGAAGCAUGGAGUCUUAACCAUUGGACCACCAGGAAAGUCCCAAUAUGAACUUCUAAAUUACCAUGGAAAGGUUCCUGCAGAAGCCUGCUGUGCAUCGGGAGGCUCGGCUGUUUCCUGCGACCCCUCCGUCAGAUGCAUCACUCCUCUCCGGGGGCUGGAGUCACUGCAAAGAGUCAGCAGUCUGAGCUCAGACACUUGAUCUGGAGCCCAGCUGUCAGCCCUGUCCUCGUCGCUGUCCCUGGCUCUGUCCUCUGGGAAACUUUUUGAGCUGAUCGAACUGCAGCAUCUGGAAAACUCCACAGCAAUGUUAAGUCCUGUAUACAUCUUCCAAGAGUUCUUUUUUUUUUUUCUCUUGGAUUUUUUUUUUUUUUUUAAUGGAAGAGAGUCACACACCAACAGUGGUUUCUGAAGCCCCUUCUCUAGUCCAGAGUCCAGGUCAUGGAUGCGCUGGGCAACCCUGAUGGACACUUUGGUCUCUCCAGGCCUCUUUUUCCUCAUCUGUAAAAUUGAGAAAAUAACCCCUCUGAAGGGUGACCUUCACUGUGGUCAAGGUCAGUAUGGGUCUAGGAGAGGGGAGAAAGUGAAAGUGAAGUCGCUCAGUGGUGUCCGACUCUUUGCGACCCCAUGGACUGUAGCCUACCAGGCUCCUCUGUCCAUGGGAUUUUCCAGGCAAUAGUACUGGAGUGGAUUGCCAUUUCCUUUUCCAGGGGAUCUUCCCAACCCAGGGAUCAAACCCGGGUCUCCCGCAUUAUAGACAGACGCUUAACCGUCUGAGCCACACUGAUAUCUCACAGUCUAUCCGCUGGUCCAGCCACACAGUUGCUAGCCAGGGGUCCCAGUCAGUGAGGAAGAAUGGAGAUAAUUGGGCAGGUAGGGUUCUUGGAAGCUCCGAAUUUGCUUUAUGGUUUGUGAUGUUCUUGCAUGAUUUGCAUUGGGCCAGGCCUGGUAAGGCUGGAUGGAGGGAAUAAAAAUAAUCAACAUCGCA
rnacentral:lncRNA from 1 species